rnacentral:lncRNA from 1 species
CUUUUACAGGAAAAAGAAGAAGAAAAGUGCUCAGACUCUGAAGCAGCAAGAUGGUCGAUCGAGCAGUGGCACUUGAAGCUUUGAGCGUGACCUGUAAUGCCACCAUAACUUCUGAGAUUCAAGCAGCGGCUGCAGGCCUAGCCCAGCUGUUCGGGCUGCUCAGUCUUGGUGCUGCGAUCAAAGCGAUCCCACAUCUGACCAUCAACAACUUCAUCUCCACUGUCUUGGAUGGAGAACAAUCCUGCUCGGUGUCACAGUACAACUCAACCAGGAUCCAAGAUGUCCUCCAAGGUACAGAUUCGGCAGCAGACCCCUCAAAGAGGAUGUUCAGUUGUGCACCACCAUCAAGGAAAUUUGUCAUUGAUGAGGACGAAUUCUUUGACCCCUGCUAUGACUACGACUUCAGACAUAAGACAGACGUAGUGACCUAUUACAGAGGUGGAGAGGAGUACACCCGCCCAACUGGUUGGUACCGCUUUGCCAUCAAGGUCUUGGACAAGUAUGAGGACAACACAUGGCUGGGAAACCAGCACCGUACCACUGAGUCAGUGCCAGGAGAGUGGCCUGUGUCCUACCAUGGGACUUCAGACACAGGUGCUAGAGGAAUCAUCAAAACCAACUACAAGGCAGGCCCAGGUCAAGUGUACGGCAGAGGUGUUUAUUCCACCCCCGACCUCUCUGAGGCUGAAGGAUACGCUAAACAGUUUGUCUCAAAGGUGGAUAAAAAGACCUACGAAGUGGUGCUGCAGAAUCGCAUCAACCCGGCGCACAGAGAGAAACACAAUGACGACAUGUACUGGCUGGUGCCCAUUGAGGGCGGAACGACACCUGAAGACGAGCAGCAGAAGGUGCAGCAGGCCAUCCGUCCCUACGGCCUUCUGAUAAGAGAGGUCCCACAGGAAGACUAGCAGUGACGCCACACAAAGGUUUUACCAGUGGUCACAGUGCAGGUUUCAGAGUGUCUAUCAUUUGUUCCUUUGAUAACUCACCCUGACCCAAAAUCAAAGUGAUGUCACUUCAUUACUUGUUUGUUAAUCUGAUGUUAAAAUAUGUUUGAUUUCAUGAUGACACCAAAAUAAAAUAUUUU